AGUGAACGCUGGCGGCGUGCCUAAUACAUGCAAGUCGAACGGAGUGGCGCACGGGUGAGUAAUGUAUAGCUAAUCCGCUCUAUACUCGAGGACAACAGUUGGGAAUGGCUGCUAAUACUCUAUAGUGUAGGAUGAGGCUAUAUUGUAUCAGCUAGUUGGUGAGGUAAUGUCUCACCAAGGCUAUGACGCAUAACUGGUCUGAGAGGAUGAUCAGUCACACUGGAACUGAGACACGGUCCAGACUCCUACGGGAAGCAGCAGUAGGGAAUAUUGCUCAAUGGGGGAAACCGUGAAGCAGCAACGCCGCGUGGAGGAUGACACUUUUCGGAGAGUAAACUCCUUUUGUUAGGGAAGCGGUACCUAACGAGUAAGCACCGGCUAACUCCGUGCCAGCCGCCGCGGUAAUAC
rnacentral:rRNA from 1 species